UUUCCAGAGAUGGAUUGGUGCCUUCGGGAACUGUGAGACAGGUGCUGCAUGGCUGUCGUCAGCUCGUGUUGUGAAAUGUUGGGUUAAGUCCCGCAACGAGCGCAACCCUUAUCCUUUGUUGCCAGCGGUUAGGCCGGGAACUCAAAGGAGACUGCCAGUGAUAAACUGGAGGAAGGUGGGGAUGACGUCAAGUCAUCAUGGCCCUUACGACCAGGGCUACACACGUGCUACAAUGGCGCAUACAAAGAGAAGCGACCUCGCGAGAGCAAGCGGACCUCAUAAAGUGCGUCGUAGUCCGGAUUGGAGUCUGCAACUCGACUCCAUGAAGUCGGAAUCGCUAGUAAUCGUGGAUCAGAAUGCCACGGUGAAUACGUUCCCGGGCCUUGUACACACCGCCCGUCACACCAUGGGAGUGGGUUGCAAAAGAAGUAGGUAGCUUAACCUUCGGGAGGGCGCUUACCACUUUGUGAUUCAUGACUGGGGUGAAGUCGUAACAAGGUAACCGUAGGGGAACCUGCGGUUGGAUCACCUCCUUA
rnacentral:rRNA from 1 species